UGUCAGGUCUUUAAGGAAGUGUUUUAUUGAUAAAAUCAAGUGAUAUCUGUAAUAACGGCUUCUCCAGAAGCGCAGUGAUGUCUUUCUUUAGUCUCUAGACCCUUCAGAAAGGGUAGUCCCUAAAGGUAGGGUAUCCAGUCAUACGUCCUCACAUUGUAGUUAAGUAGGUAUGUGUGUGUGUGUGUGUGUGUGUGUGUGUGUGUGUGUGUGUGUGUGUGUGUGUGUGUGUGUGUGUGUGCGUAUGCCUGGUUCUGUCGUGAAACUCUACAUGGCGCAGGCUAAUGGUGCAAACGAGCAUUCGCUAUAGCAGUUGCAGCACACUUUCAGAGUUCCUCUGAAACCCUCCACCUGUAAAGCUCCACCUUUAUAGAUCUGCUAUGGGUAAUUUUAUAUAUGCAUUUGUGCAGCGGCAGUAUGUCUUGCAUACACACAGCAGCGUAUCAGCGUAUGUAUUGGCAGUAGCAAGUUUCUACUAGCAGCAGCAGCAUUAAUCUACAACUACAAGGACAACAGCAGACCAAAUACCUUGUCAUACCCAUUACCCUGUUAAAAUGUUCUGAGAGUAUAUAUAUAUAUAUAUAUAUAUAUAUAUACACACUGUAUAUAUAUUCUGAGAAAACUAUGGAAAUCAAGGGAGAAAAUUACAUCUCUUAUUAUCUUGAGUUUGGCAAGGACAUUCAAGUACAAAUCAUAUUGGUCGUUUGUUAAUGAAGUGUCAUAGUCAGAAGUGUUUUUGAUUCCAUUAGUCAAUGGGAUAUUAUAUUGAGCGAGCAAUCAUGUGAAUUGUUCAGAAGAGGCCAUCCGAGGCCAGUUCAGUGAAAUGUUAAUAAACUACAGCUAAAAGCUCUGAGUCACUGAAAGCAACUUUUCAUCUGUCUAUAUAAAAAUUCAUCAAUAUCUGGCAACUUUUUUGCAUGUAUUCCCAGUUCUUUUUUUUUAUUCCACAGUUUUGAUCAGUGAAAAUGAUGAAGAGUAUGUCAAUAUCCUGCACUGGGGGGCCACAUUUCAUUGGUCUAAUUCUCAGGAGCUCGAUCUACAGAAAAGAAAAGCAAAUGUGUACAGAAUCAUAACUCAAAUAUUGAGGAAUUGAUUGGAUCGUAAAAAUGGGCGUUACCUGAAUGGAGCCACAUGAUUGGAGGGGAGAGGUUGAAUGAAACAAUAUUUUAAUAAGACCAGGAAUGUGUAAGGAGAGUACCUGGAAUGCAACCCUCAAACCGACGGCAUCAUCAGCAUCGAUGGCAAAGAACUGAAGAAGGCCCUGGACUACAAUUAUCUCAGAUCCAUCAUCACCAGUUAUGGCAGCAUCCUCUCUGAUGCUAAAGCAUGGGUUAAGGAUGAAGUGGAGCCAGCUCAUUGGGGUUUCUCUGGGACCGCUGGAUGCCCGACCGCCUCAAGGCCAAGAUCUAUAAGACCAUUGUUCGCCCUGUGGCCCUUUACAACACUGAGUGAUGGCCAGCGUCGGUAAAACAUGAACAAGCCCCGCAUAUCAUGGAGAUGUGGAUGGUCUGGUGGGAUAACGCCAUGGGACCAUGUAACAAACAAAGACGCCAGGAAACAGUUGGGCAUUGUCCCAAUUACCCCUUAAAUGCAUGACUGUUUCCCCAAUCAUUCUUACAUAUUCGGGUCUUUUUUGACCUUU